UACGUAGGUGGCAAGCGUUGUCCGGAAUUAUUGGGCGUAAAGCGCGCGCAGGCGGUCCUUUAAGUCUGAUGUGAAAGCCCACGGCUCAACCGUGGACGGUCAUUGGAAACUGGAGGACUUGAGUACAGAAGAGGAAAGCGGAAUUCCACGUGUAGCGGUGAAAUGCGUAGAGAUGUGGAGGAACACCAGUGGCGAAGGCGGCUUUCUGGUCUGUAACUGACGCUGAGGCGCGAAAGCGUGGGGAGCAAACAGG
rnacentral:rRNA from 1 species